rnacentral:rRNA from 1 species
UACAGAGGGUGCAAGCGUUAUCCGGAAUGAUUGGGCGUAAAGCGUCCGCAGGUGGCUAUGUAAGUCUGCUGUUAAAGAGUGAGGCUCAACCUCAUAAGAGCAGUGGAAACUACAUGGCUAGAGUGCGUUCGGGGCAGAGGGAAUUCCUGGUGUAGCGGUGAAAUGCGUAGAGAUCAGGAAGAACACCGGUGGCGAAAGCGCUCUGCUAGGCCGCAACUGACACUCAUGGACGAAAGCUAGGGGAGCGAAUGGG